CCCUUUAGAUGUUCUGGGCCGCACGCGCGCUACACUGAAUGGAUCAACGUGCCUUUCCCGAGGCUGAAAAGUCGAGGUAAUCCGUUGAACCCCAUUCGUGACGGGGAUAGGAGCUUGCAAUUAUUCUCCUUGAACGAGGAAUUCCCAGUAAGCGCGAGUCAUCAGCUCGCGUUGAUUACGUCCCUGCCCUUUGUACACACCGCCCGUCGCUACUACCGAUCGGAUUGUCCUGUGAAUUUCUAGGAGAGUUGAGGUCCUGGCGCUUCGGUGUCGGCGACCUCAUGCUUGAAUUGAAUUGAACUGGACUCUCUAGAGGAAGUAAAAGUCGUAACA
rnacentral:rRNA from 1 species